AUGGCGGCCAGUGCUGCAGCUACAGAGAGCUCCGUGAGGAAGAGGCGCGUGGACAGCAGGAGGACGCAGACGGACAGAGUCCCUGGCGGCUCUUCAGACGGAACUGCCAACAAUGGAGACUCGGAGAAAAAGAAGCAGUUCGUGUCCUUACAACCCGGAACUUACUGGCUCACUCGUAUUGUGCUGCUGCGCUCAGUCUCAUUCAUUUACUUUGUGGCCUUCACAGUUGCCUACAACCAGAACAAGCAGCUGAUUGGAGAGAACGGACUAAUGCCUUGCAAGAAUUACCUGAACAGCGUCAAGCGCUACGUCGGAGGAAAGAUCGGCACGUCGGCUCUGGCAUACGCACCUUCCGUCCUCUGGUUCUUGGACUGGACCAGCAUGGACGCCAACCUGGACUGCAUUGCCUUGCUUGGGAUGGCGUUGUCAGGGUUCGUCCUGGUGACAGGGAUGGCCAAUAUGGUGAUCAUGAUGACCCUGUGGGUGCUUUACCACUCCUUGGUCAACGUGGGACAGCUGUGGUACUCCUUUGGUUGGGAGAGCCAGCUGUUGGAGACGGGCUUCCUGGCCGUCUUCCUGUGUCCGCUGUGGACUCUGUCCCAGGUUCCCAGCAGCUGUCCCCCCUCCCUCGUCUGCAUUUGGACCUUCAGGUGGCUCAUCGUUCGCAUCAUGCUGGGAGCUGGCCUCAUUAAAAUCAGAGGAGACCAGUGCUGGAGAGACCUGACCUGCAUGGACUACCACUAUGAGACCCAGCCAGUGCCAAACCCCAUCUCCUACUACAUGCACCGCUCUCCGUGGUGGUUCCACCACUUUGAGACACUGUCCAACCAUUUCAUUGAGCUCAUCGCUCCCUUCUUCACCUUCCUGGGCCGGCGGAUGUGCAUGGUGAACGGAGCCAUCCAGAUUCUCUUUCAGGUGGUCUUGAUCAUCAGCGGGAACCUGAGUUUCCUCAACUGGCUGACCAUUGUUCCCAGUUGGGCCUGCUUCGAUGACGCAUCGCUAAGCUUUCUGUUUCGCUGCGGCUCCAGAGCUAAGGAAGCGGUGCUGGAGAUCCAGAAGAAGAAGGUGACCGGACAAGCCCCCAAACCCACAAAAGGCAUGUUAAUACGGCGGGUGGUGAACAUUUCUUUGGGUGUUCUCAUUGGCGUCCUGAGCGUGCCAGUGGUGAUGAACCUGUUGAGUCCGCGUCAGGUGAUGAACACUUCCUUCGACCCGUUGCGCAUCGUCAACACCUACGGGGCUUUUGGAAGCAUCACCAAAGAACGGACUGAGGUGAUCUUCCAGGGAACUCUGAGCCCAGAUCCCAAAGACCCUGAGGCGGUUUGGGAGGAGUACCAGUUCAGGUGUAAGCCAGGAGAUGUGUACCGACGGCCCUGCCUCAUAUCGCCCUAUCACUACCGGCUGGACUGGCUCAUGUGGUUUGCUGCCUUCCAGACCUAUGAGCAGAGCGAGUGGGUCAUCCACAUAGCUGGACGCCUGCUGGCCAACGACAGCACCGUCCUCUCGCUGCUCGACCACAACCCCUUCCAAGGCAGAGACCCCCCCAGAUGGGUUCGAGGAGAACACUUCAGGUACAAAUUCUCUCAGCCGGGCAGCGCCAGCGCAGCACAGGGCAAAUGGUGGCUGAGAAAACGCAUCGGAGCCUACUUCCCUGCUGUAGACCUGGAAGGACUCAGAGGCUACUUCCAGUCCAGGAACUGGCCUCACCCACACAUCCCACCAAGCAGGAGCUGAAGUCAAACGGGAUGAAAAAGUCAUUUCAAAGCAGUUUGGAGCCAAGGUUACACUUCAUGCAGAUGACAUCAGGUUUCUCAAGAACUGCAUGAUAAAAAGUUUUCUGACUCAGAACACCAGUACAACUAUUCCAGGGGUGUCAAACUCCAGUCCUCAAGGGCUGUUGUCCUAUAGUUUUUGGAUGUGCCACAGGUGUGGUGCAGCAGAGGCACAUCUAAAAGUUGCAGGACAGCGGCCCUCGAGGACUGGAGUUAGACACCUGUGAACUAUUCCCAAUCAAUGUGAAGGUUUCGAAGCUCUCAGUUUUAAAUGAAUAAGAUCUAAAAACAUCCUGAGGACACCUGAAAGUAAAUGUACCAACGGUUGAAAAUGUAAAAAAUGAAAAUCAUUUUCUCACCAAGUCUCUGUGGCUUCCUGCCGGUGUGUUUUGUUUUGUUUUUUAAACUAGCUUUGGCUCAUCCGGAUUUUGAGAGUUGAGCCACAUUAGCAUGCUAUCUGUGACCAGAAUACAGUGUCAAAACAAGCUCACUUUCACUGGAGCAUAUGUGUAAAUAGCAAAAAAACACUAAGGAAGUCUUCUUUGUCAAGACAUUUUCAAAUCUAAAUAUUUUUCUUUAAAAAAUCUCAAAUACACAGGAUAAAUAUUCGAUAGAUUGAAAAACCUAUUUUGAAUACAUUUGGACAAAAUAGUGUUGAAAGAAAGAUGUAUAAAAUUAUUUUCUCUGAUGAAACGUCCUUUUAUUAAUAUGAAACAGCUGGGACGUUUUUCCAUCUUCCUCUGAGAUUUACUUUUUCCUUCUUCUCAAGCACUUCCAUUAAACAAAGAGUGAGAUGUAAAUGUCUUCUAGGAGUAUUUUCCAGCAUAGUGCAGCACCAUUUUGCACAACAAAAUGUGAAAACUGUUUCCAAGAUCACAACAAUUCAGACAAUGUGUUGUCAAAAGCAGGUUAACCAAAAGUAUCCCAACAAACCUGAUCAACUCUGAGCUCUGAUAACAAGAAAAGGUCAUUAUAAGUCAAUACUUUAUACAGAACCUGCAGUAGGGAAAACUUGAGUUGAAGAAGUUUUAAAGAAGAAACAUAAAAACACUGUAAGUGUUAAUUAUUUGCAUAAAUUUUAAGAAUUUACACAUAAAAUACUUAAAAUGUAUAAAAAGUUAGAAUCGUCCAUCAUUAAUCCACAGUGACAUGGAGAAAAAGCUGAAAAGCCACAGAACAGACAGUGCAGGACCAAAAAAGACCAGCAGAUGGUGCUGUUACUCCAAGUCUUAUCUGACCCCAGCUGAACCUCUACAGAUAAAAAUCUGUGGUUAGAAUAUUUUUCAGGAACAACUCAAGUACAACCAAACAUCAAGCCUGUCAAAAACUGGAAGAUGUUGGACAACCAUUCUCACUGAACACAGGGAAGAACGUCUUCCUUCACACAUGGAAAAGCCAGAUGUCUUCUGGAGAAAAACUUUAUGGAGAAACCUAAUUUUGGACUACUUAACCUUCAUGAGAAAAAGAAUGAGAUGGGUGUGAAUACAACUGUAAAGGGGGGCUUCAUGCUGAGGAAUUGUUUCACUGGGGUUUAAAAAAAAGAAUUGACAGUGGACAUUGUUGAAUACUCUUCACUCAUUGUCCUCCCUCCCUUAGUUUGGUUCUUCUUAACUCUUUCUGUUGCCUUUCUUUUUACCUUCCAAAAAGGAAGGCAACAACAUACAUUUCUGUCCUUCCUUGCAUCGUUCUCUCCUAUUUCCUUGUGUCCUUCUCCUUUCCUUUAUUGUGUCCUACCCCUGUUCUUCCUUUCUCCUUUGUGUCUUUCUUCCUCCCUUUCUUCCUUCGUUUCUAAUAAUUCCUUGUGCCACCUCCUUCCCUUUGUGGCAUGCCUUGUUUCUUCUAUGUACCCUCUCCCUUUCAUGCCCUUAUAUCCUUACUUCCUUCUUUUCCUCUCCUUCCUUUAUCCCCUUAUUCCUUGUAUCCUUUUCUCCUUUCUUGCAUUCUACCCCCUUCAUUCUAUCCUACCUUUCUUCUACCUUUGUGUCUUUGUUCUUCCUCUCUUCCUUACAUUAUUUCCCACCUCCCGUCCAUUAAUGGCCCUUCUUUUCUUCCUUCCCUUGGAUACCCCUUCCUUCUUUAUACAAACAUUUACCAUGUAUUCAUAGAGAUUUUAUUAUUUUAUGGUGAAUGCAAAGGCUGUGAUUUCUGGAAAGUUGACUUGUCCCUGAGCUUAACAAAUCAUGUCUGUCCAGAUAACAGAUAAAUGUGUCUUUUGUAAAGGUGCUCCAGCAUGUUGAAUAAAUUCCCUGGAGGAUGAAAA